GGGUUCAUAGUUCAGUGGUAGAACAACGGAUUGCAGAUCCGUAUGUCGCAGGUUCAAUUCCUGCUGAGCCCU
rfam:Nosema apis BRL 01 unplaced genomic scaffold scf7180000046889, whole genome shotgun sequence.